UUUGAAGGGUAUUUAUUUCAAUGUUUACCUAGUAAAUACUUGGAUACUAUCUGAGUGCCUGAAGCAAACCAUAAUAGCUAAAGUCAGUGUCACAGGGAUUUGCUUGGUUCAUCAGUUUCAAUGCAAAUAUGUCAUCCUGUAACAUGAUAGUAUUUAUUGAGAAAAUUAGAUACUUCAGAUUUGAUGAAUAUCUUAGAAGCUAGUGGAAAAUGUUUUAUAAUCUGGAAUAAAAUUGUUCUAAUAAAUUGGUUUCCUUCAUUUAAAUUAUUCUGCUUUAAGUCAUUUAAAAGACUGUGUGCAGCCUACAUGUAAUAUGAUUAUGAUGUUCUGGUCGGGUCAGCUAAAAGAAUAACAUUUUUUCUCAAUUAACAGGAGUUAAUGAAGUGUGAGCAAUGCAUAAGCAUGAAAAUUGAAGCUGUAGCAAGGGGCUGGAAUUUAAGGCAAGUUUGAGUAACAGAAGCAUGAUUUUAAGGCAGAUUUGCUAGAAAAAUGCUCCUGAGGUGCAUUGUCAGAGACUGCUGCCCUGAGAAUCCUCCAUCUGACUCUGGGAGACACAGCUGUGAACUUGUGGAACAUGUUGGCUCAAGUUAUACCUCAAUGAAGUGAGGGGGGAUAAAGAUCAAUAGAAGAUUCUUGUGUAGUGAAAUUGUGGCAAGUUCUUACGGGUGACCUGCACUCUGCUGUUCUUUUUUCCACCUGUGUAAAGUACAAGUUUAAAGAGAAGAAGAAGAAACUGAGAGUUGUGAAUUCCCCGUAGGAAGUCAGCACUCUUUCCACUCAUCACUCUCCAGCCUCAUCAUCUCCAUUCAUCAGUAGGCUCCACAUGGCUUCCUGGAGAUAUCUUCAUCAUAGAUUUUUCAAAUCUCCCCUGGAAUCUAUGCAGCCGAAUGUGCAGUUGUUCUGUAACUGAUGGUCGCCUGGAUAUCAUUUGAUGAAAGUGUAAGACAGGUUUUUGUGUGUGUGUGUGUGUGAUGCCAAUUACUAAGGACAUGAAGAUACACAUCUUGAAUUAUUACAUAUAAAAAGAUUAAAGGCUAAAUAUUUAAGAAAUAUCUAAUGCAACUGUAGUCUCUGCUCUCACUUCUCCAUAUUCUUGUGAGUUUUUGUUCUGUUCCUUAUUCUUAGAGUGUAAAGUGAUCAUUUUAGGAAUGAAUAUCAUAGAAAGUAAAUACAAGGAACAGAAAGCUUAAUGCAUUCAUUAUUCAUUCCUUUCCAUCAAUAUUCUGAACACCUACAGAGUGUUCUAGGCUCACUGGGGAAACAAGAAUCAAUAAAUCUCAUUUUCUCCCCUUACUGACCUCAUGAUCAGUAGAAAACCAACCCGAAUAAUCUCAUAUUGAUUCCUCCUUCCUGUGAGUCCUCAUGCAUUCUGGAAACCUUUGGAGGGAUUUAUCAUAGUCCAUAUUACUUAAGAGUUUACGGGCAUUUCUUUUAUGCUCCUUGGUAGAUGUUGAAUGCCUGGAAGGCAAAGACUUUGUUUUCCCUAUCUUUAUAUCCCUGGUUCCCAGUGUAGUGGUUACUCCAUGCUAUGUGCUUAACACAUGUUUUUAAAUAAAAGGUUCAAUGGUUUUGCCAUUAACAAUAUAUAAGACCCUUAGCUAGUAAUUUUGUA